GUUCAACACACAAUUUUUCUACUCUUAUGUGAUAUAACAACACACCCAUACAACCAUUCUUCUCACUUUCAGUCCAACAAUCAAUUGCUUAAGAUAGUCACACUUCAUUAUGACAGAAGCUCUGUGUCACAUGAUUCUGCCCAGUUAUUGGCUAGCAAAAGUGUUCUGAGAAUGUUUGAACAGACAAAAUGAAGCCAAGACAUACAUUUGGCUAAGCAUACUAAACAUAUUUUCUUUUCAAGGAGAAUGAAAGCAUCUGAAGACCACUGGAUAAAUGAGACAUCUGAAGAAGAAGGACAAACCAGGAAGAGAAUAGGUCCCAAGAGAAAGAGUAAAUUGGUCUAAUGGCACAGCACAACUCCAACAGGAUAAAUUUUCAUAAGUCCUCCCAAAUAUUUGUUUCUGCUGCUCUCUUCAAACAUAAAAGGCAAAUGGUA